GUCUAAGAUAGCCUUUGCCCCGCGGGUCCGCUUCGAGCGCAGCGGCUUUGGCCUUUCUCCUGAAGCUCUCGCCUUGUGUUCUGAGUCGUGGGACGGAAAGACUCGCAGCGGCCUUGAGCCGGGACCUCCACCCUCUUGGAGGCGUGGGGCCGAGGUAGCCUGGUGUGUCGGCCCCGUUGCCCUUCAGGGCUCCAGUCCGCUCACUUUCCUAGUGAAGACGGCUUUUAGGGGCUCCAAGCCUCUUGCCCUUAUGGUUUUUGCUAAUAAAACACUCUUUCACUAUGGCCCUUCCGCGUCCUUGUGGGCCCUUGUGUUGGGCAGUGGGGACUCGAAGACAACUCCUUACUCUCAGAGAGCUCCCAAACUAGCGGAGUAGAUAGACCCGGGGAAGUAAAUUCUGGUAUUAGAUGGAGUAGUGUAACUGAGCAAAGGCCGUGUGCCCGGGUCGCAAAAAGCCGGUCUGACAGCGAGUGUUUGCUGCAAAGAAAGGGGUUUAUUUGCUGGGCGCCAAAGGAGUAAAAGACAAGUCUCAGAUUCAUUCCAUCUUGGUCUUUAAGAGUGAAGUUUUUAUCAGAGGGGCCUACCUGGAGGUGAUUCUCCACAUUGUAGAACUGAAUUUGAAGCUACACAUCAGCCUCAGUUGGAAUUGAAUUCCUCUUUAUUGCUCACAGUCUCUCAGGUGGCUGAUGGCAGAUCCUGACCUCUCAGAGGGAUUGGCCAGUUGGAGAUCUCCCACCAGAUCUUCAGACUCACCCGUUAUCAGCAACUGCUGGGCCUUACUCACAAGGCCCUCAGCCAACUCUGGGAGCUCUGCUUGUGAUGGUUGCAGCCCAAACUACAUUCAAGGAGAAGAUCCUGGAGCUGAAGCAAUUCCUAACCAUCCUUCACAGGGAGAUCCAAGCCUGGAUGAGGGUGUGUCAUCUAGGAAGCUUUGAGAAUGCAAUGACUGGUGCAGCAUUUGGACUGAGAAUGAAGGCAGUGAAGCCACACUGAGGAUGAGCAGCAGGACUUUGAGGAGGCUGGAGCUCAUAACGGUGAAAGCAAGGAUUUGGCCCUGGUGAAGUCAGUGAUGAAAUGGCACAGACUAGCCCAGCAUCCCAGAAGUCCAGGGCUGUUCCCAAACUGACUGUCUUUUUGCCAGACUCCUUGAAUCAAAGACGUUGUCCUGUUGGCUCUGGAACACUGACUACACGUAGUAGACUUAAUGAAUAAUCCCUUGACUAGUACCAGCUGACACUGUGAAAACACUGACAACUGGAAGAACACUGACAACGGCAAAUACUCAGGUUCUUCUAAAUAUGACUCAGUAAAUAUUUAUGGAAUGCCAGUCUUACCCAGGCAACUCUGCCAAACGCUGCAGGACAUACAAAUGAAAAGAAGGGUCCCAUCUUGCAGGGAGCACGCAGUGGUAGGAAAAUCAGAAGAUAGCACAAAGGGGACCUGAAUUCCACUGAAGGACCUGCUGCUGGUAAAUUGCGUGACCCUGAGCAACUCUCUUCCUGGCAAGGAAGCAAGUUCUUAAUUCUCUGACAAGAACUAUAAAUGGAACUUAUUUCACAGGUUAUAAACUAUCUAACAAGAAAAAAAACAAAACAAAACCAGAAUCAUUGUGAGCAUGCCAGGCCCAGAUAUGGGUACAACCCCCUCAGGGGGUGUUAACCCUGACCAGAGCAAAACUGCCUUUGUGAAAAUUAUAAAGGAUAACUUCAUCUAAAAUGGAAUUGGGAGUUCAGAGGGGAAGAUCUCAGGCCCUACCAGUAGACACCAAUUGUGUUAGAAAGAGAAGUACUUUUGCAUUGCCAAGAGGAAGGUUACUACUUUACUAUCCAGCAGGAGGAAGAAUUUCUCCUUGCCCAGCAACAGCCGAGCCAAUCAAAGACUGGAACGAUUCAGCCAAUGAAAAACCACUCCAUUUAAAACUGCCAGUUUUCCCCCAGGGGACUCAUAACAUCCCCUUGCAACUCCUGGUCCUCUCUGUAAAAGUACCCUUCUUUGCCUUUGUUCUCCAGACUGCUUAUGAUUGCCAGAGUUUUCAUGUUCUAAAUUGCAACUCUCUGUUCGCUAAUAAACUCAUUUUGCUGAUAAAAUAA